rnacentral:rRNA from 1 species
UACGGAGGGUGCAAGCGUUACUCGGAAUUAUUGGGCGUAAAGCGCGUGUAGGCGGUUUACUAAGUCUGAUGUGAAAUCCCUGGACUCAAUUCAGGAAGUGCAUUGGAUACUGGUAGACUAGAGUUUUGGAGAGGUGAACGGAAUUCCUGGUGUAGAGGUGAAAUUCGUAGAUAUCAGGAGGAACAACAGAGGCGAAGGCGGUUCACUGGACAAUAACUGACGCUGAGACGCGAAAGCGUGGGUAGCAAACAGG